rnacentral:lncRNA from 1 species
CUGCGCCGCUGCCCGUCCCACGCCGCGCUGCUGCUCGCCCCGCCCCUCCCUGGCGCCGUGUCCUCUGCUGCCAGCGUCGGAUUCCUCCGCCGCCACCGGUCCUCCUCCUCCGCGGCCACCGGUCAUCUUCCUCCGCUGCCUGCGUCCGUCGGAUUCCUCCAUAGGUUUGUAAUUUUUUUUUUAAUUUCCAUUAAUUAUUUGAAAAAUCCUAUUAUUUCAAAUAUUUUCUUAUGUAUCUGGUCGUGACAUAUAGAUUGAAAAAUACAGAGGGAAAAGGGUUUUGGGGUUGGAGUCAAACCUAACAUUGCCGAUUGUUUUCUUUCUGUGCUUCUGCUUCUUUCUUGCUGGUCUAUUUGGAUCCAUCAUCAUAUCUCAGGUGAAACCUUUUGUUUUGGUGCAUUUUGCUUGUGGGUAUUCUUUCUGCGUAUUCGUGUUUGUAGACGUCGAUUUUUGUUUGCAGGAUGUGAAUAGGGGUGUAUCCAGGCAUAAAUUGCUGCAAGAUGUUGGAUACGAACAAGGGAAUUCAAUGGUUCAUGGUGAAAGUGGAGAGUCUUUAGUUAGAAGGUAUAUGAACUACUUUGGGAAAAAAGUCCAUUACUUCUGUUUGGUUAUUUUCUUUGAGCAAUUAGUUUAAAGGCUGUGAUUGUGAAAGAAUGAGAAGUGGACUUUUGGUAAUUUUCUAUGGAAGAUGAGAUUUUAGUGAGAUGGACAAAUGCUGGACUUGGAUAUUCUCCUAAAUGAAAUUCAUAUGCUAGUGCAGAUCCUGAGUUGGAGACCACGGGCUAUCUAUUAUCCUAAUUUUGCCUCAGAUGAACAGUGCCAAAAUAUAAUUGAACAGGCUAAGAGAAAGCUCAAACCAUCAUCUCUUGCUCUGCGCGAGGGAGAGACUGCUGAGAGCACAAAGGGUAUUCGGACAAGGUAUCUUCAUUCAAUAUAGGGGAUGCUUACUUUGUCUGAUAUAUUAGAUUGAGAAAACAUUUGAUGGAGUAUUUGAGGGAUUAGAUGAUCAAACAAUGAUCUCCUGAACUCUGGGAACUUCUAAAAGCAGUUAAAAGUACUCGAUGAGCAAAUGAAUCUCUCAUCAAUCAGAACUUUCUUUUGAGAUGAAAGUACAUAUUCUUAUGCUGCAGUCCCUUGUCUACAUCUGUUUUAUUUGGAAUCCUGCCUCAGUUUUGCAAUGUGUAUUCUUGAUUCAUGUGUAAAAGAAUGGUUUGAGGAGAUUGUGACUCAUAUAUGUUCAAAGAUCUACUCUUUGUUAUUUAUUUAUUUAUUCUGUAAUAAGGCAGUGAACAUGUAUCGUGGAGAUAGCACGUCAAAAGGAGGAGAUGAGGCAGAAAGAUGAGCAGACCGAUGCUCGAUUUCAGGCUCAGCAGCGUAUGUUCGAGGAGAUAUUGGCUAGGCUUCCACCUGGACCCACUCCACCCACUGGACCAUCAUCUUGAUUAUGUUGUGUUUUUGUAUUUUGAAUACUUGAAUAUUUCUAUUAUAUAUUUGUGAACACUUGAAUAUUUUGUUAAGUUAUGACUAUUCGAAUGCUAAUUUAAAUUUCAUUUGGUGUUUUCGA